UCUGCAGUGAUGAGGCUUUAACAUGUAAGAAGGACCAUCUUGAAUGGUUUCUUCAAUGAGAUAUUCUUGUUACGCUUGGCUUCUGAGCACA